AGACAUUACUAGAAACUACAUCACGUUGUCACAUUCAUUUAGAAGAUGAGACCCAACAUUCAAUGAGAAAAAUAAGUCAGAUGACAAACCAAUUUCAAGAAGUAGAGGAUCAACUCAAAGAGGAAGGACACCGUGCUGAGAAGAUGCUAGACCAAUGGAAAAAGAUCAAAAUGGCAAAUUCCAAAUUAAAACUUACUGUCAAAGACCAAGACGAAA